GAUCCUGGCUCAGGAUGAACGCUAGCGACAGGCCUAACACAUGCAAGUCGAGGGGCAGCGGAGAGGUAGCAAUACCUUUGCCGGCGACCGGCGCACGGGUGAGUAACACGUAUGCAAUCCACCUGUAACAGGGGGAUAACCCGGAGAAAUCCGGACUAAUACCCCAUAAUAUGGGUUCGUCCGCAUGGAGGGGUCCGAUUAAAGAGAGCAAUUUGUUUACGUAGACGAGCGAUGCGCGUCCACUUAGU
rnacentral:rRNA from 1 species